rnacentral:piRNA from 5 species
UGAGUAUUUGUUGAAUGGAUGAAUGG